UCUCCCCUUUGUCUCUUGUAAUUUAAAAACAAAAGGCAAAAGACAAAUUUAUAACAAAGGCAAAUUUAAAAAGCAAAAAGAACGAAAGAAAAUUGUUGUCCUUUACUCAUGAAACAAAAUUUACACAUUCACCAAGCAUAAUUUCUUAAUAUCACAUUUACUUCAUAACAAAAUCAUUUAAGUUACAUUUUAAAAGCAAAAAAUUUGAACUUAUGAAACCUAAUAUUUUCACCAGUAUAAGGUUAAGAACCAAGUUUAUACCUG
rnacentral:misc_RNA from 1 species